GCCGGGAUGGGGUAGCGGUUAGCCUUCGGGACUGUGGAUCCCGCGACCCGGGUUCGAAAUCUCGCGAGACGAAAUUCCCGGUCCCGGCC
rnacentral:tRNA from 1 species